rnacentral:misc_RNA from 1 species
CAUGGUGAAGUAGAAGAAAGGACAAUAUGCUUGAGUAGAGAACUUGAAAUGGCCAAAGAAAAGGUUCUGUUUGUAAGCAAGCAAUUUGGAGAUGCAACUCAUGAACUGAAAGAGGCAAAGUCAGUUGUUGAAGCCCUUGAGUCUGAACAAAUACUGGCAAUAAAUGAGAUGGAAGACCAGUCAGAGGGUAAGGACUCCACUUUACAAAUAAAAUUGAAGAGGAUGCAAGAUUCCUUUGAGAAGGCCAAGAGACUGAAUCUGUGGUAUCAAAAUGAUCAUGCUUUUAAGGCAACCAAUGAAGAAGAAAUGG